rnacentral:rRNA from 1 species
UACGUAGGGGCUAGCGUUGUCCGGAAUCAUUGGGCGUAAAGCGCGUGUAGGCGGUCCGGUAAGUCUGCUGUGAAAGUCGGGGGCUCAACCCUCGGAUGCCGGUGGAUACUGUCGGGCUUGAGUACGGAAGAGGCGAGUGGAAUUCCUGGUGUAGCGGUGAAAUGCGCAGAUAUCAGGAGGAACACCAAUUGCGAAGGCAGCUCGCUGGGACGUUACUGACGCUGAGACGCGAAAGCGUGGGGAGCAAACAGG